AGGCCGGUGGGAGUCGUGCUCGCCCCCUCCCCGCUCUCAGCCCCUCGCCCAGCUGGGCGGUCUUGGUAGCUGCCAGGCCGGCCCCCCGGCGCUCACCCUGCCCCGCACCAGCCGCAGCCCGAAAGGCAGGUCCUCGCUCCCCCCGGGGCCGAGCCCCCUCCUCAUCGCACCGCAGGCUGUCGGCGCACGCACCCUGGAGAAGGGGCGGCAGAGCGGUAGUAACAGCAACAAGCCCCCGUCUCCCUCCCUGUAGAAGCUGCCCCCUCUUCCCAGCGCUGCUCUGCAGCGGGGACAGCACAAAGACAGGAAUAAGUACAAUUUACAAGCUGAAGAUCAAUUUACUAACUUCUGAGACUGAGAAAAGGAGAGCACAGAAGUAACAGCUACUUGGGAUGCUGAAAACAGGAGGACACCGCCGAGGGGAGGAAAUGCUGCUUUUCAUACCACAACAAAGCGUGAGACACUGAAAAUCAGCACCACAGCCUUAAACGCAGACAAAACAAAGUCAUCCAAACCAGUACUAGGCAAGAAAAACAUUAUUUAGACCAAACACUCAGCAUGAACAGUCCUCUACUUAUCCCACUGUGAUCCAUUAGUCCCUCGGUUCAAAAAAACUUUCUCAGCCCCUCUUACUCCCUUUUCGAGAAAACUGCUCCCAUCUUCCAGCCCAGCAGUGAAUCCCUCACAGGUAUUUUGGAAACUAAAUGUGUCACUUCCUCGAGCAAAUCUCGAAAAUCCCCCAACAACUUUAAGAAUGGACCAGAUCUCCAGAGCCUUUGGGUCCUUCUCCUGCCAUAAAACAGAGGAACAUUGCCCCCAUCUUCUCCCUCACUCCCAAAAACCAGGACAAACAGACAUAUGAAGCUUGAAUGGCUUCAUCAAGGAUUUUUUUAUUCACCUUUUCCCCUCCUCCUCCUCUUCUCCUGCACAGAAUUGAAGUAAAAUAAUGCUUUAAAUUGAUUUCUAGUUUUGAAGGCUUUCUGAAUAAAGGAUGGAUUAUUUUUUUUCUUUGUAAAAAAGUAGACAUAAGGGUUGCUGGCUUAGUUCUCUAAAGGAGAAGAAAGAGGGGAAGAAAGUUCCCCCUAACUGCAUCUUAUUUUAAAAUAUCUAUCCAUACAGGAACUCAGCCCAUUUUCAUUUCCCAUUCCCCUAAAUCCCAAACCAGAUUUUAUUGUGGUGGAUGAGGACUGUUUUGCAUGAAAAGCUCAAAGCAAUUAAUACUAUUCAUGGGUGUGACUAGGACUAAAAUGAACAAAUCUGCAAAUGCACUGUUGGA